AGAACGAACGCUGGCGGCAGGCCUAACACAUGCAAGUCGAACGCCGUAGCAAUACGGAGUGGCAGACGGGUGAGUAACGCGUGGGAACAUACCCUUCGGUUCGGAAUAACUCAGGGAAACUUGAGCUAAUACCGGAUACGUCCGAGGUUUUAAUCGACCUUGGAGAAAGAUUUAUCGCCGGAGGAUUGGCCCGCGUCUGAUUAGCUUGUUGGUGAGGUAAUGGCUCACCAAGGCGACGAUCAGUAGCUGGUCUGAGAGGAUGAUCAGCCACAUUGGGACUGAGACACGGCCCAAACUCCUACGGGAGGCAGCAGUGGGGAAUAUUGGACAAUGGGCGAAAGCCUGAUCCAGCCAUGCCGCGUGAGUGAUGAAGGCCUUAGGGUUGUAAAGCUCUUUUACCGGGAGAUAAUGACGGUACCGGGAGAAUAAGCCCCGGCUAACUUCGCGCCAGCAGCCGC
rnacentral:rRNA from 1 species